rnacentral:rRNA from 1 species
UAACGCGUGAGCAACCUGCCUUUCAGAGGGGGAUAACGAUUGGAAACGAUCGCUAAUACCGCAUAACGUCCGGAUGGGACAUCCUGUCUGGACCAAAGGAGAAAUCCGCUGAGAGAUGGGCUCGCGUCCAAUUAGCUAGUUGGCGGGGUAAAGGCCCACCAAGGCGACGAUUGGUAGCCGGACUGAGAGGUUGAACGGCCACAUUGGGACUGAGACACGGCCCAGACUCCUACGGGAGGCAGCAGUGGGGAAUAUUGCACAAUGGGGGGAACCCUGAUGCAGCGACGCCGCGUGAGGGAAGAAGGUUUUCGGAUUGUAAACCUCUGUCCUCUGUGACGAUAAUGACGGUAGCAGAGGAGGAAGCCACGGCUAACUACGUGCCAGCAGCCGCGGUAAUACGUAGGUGGCGAGCGUUAUCCGGAAUUACUGGGUGUAAAGGGAGCGUAGGCGGGGGAACAAGUUGAAUGUUUAAGAUAUGGGCUCAACUCAUAUAAGCGUUCAAAACUGUUUUUCUUGAGUGAAGUAGAGGUAAGCGGAAUUCCUAGUGUAGCGGUGGAAUGCGUAAAUAUUAGGAGGAACACCAGUGGCGAAGGCGGCUUACUGGGCUUUAACUGACGCUGAGGCUCGAAAGCGUGGGUAGCAAACAGGAUUAGAUACCCUGGUAGU